rnacentral:rRNA from 1 species
CCUACGGGUGGCUGCAGUCGAGAAUCAUUCACAAUGGGCGAAACCCUGAUGGUGCGACGCCGCGUGGGGGAAUGAAGGUCUUCGGAUUGUAAACCCCUGUCAUGUGGGAGCAAAUUAAAAAGAUAGUACCACAAGAGGAAGAGACGGCUAACCCUGGGCCAGCAGCCGCGGUAAUACAGAGGUCUCAAGCGUUGUUCGGAAUCACUGGGCGUAAAGCGUGCGUAGGCUGUUUCGUAAGUCGUGUGUGAAAGGCGCGGGCUCAACCCGCGGACGGCACAUGAAACUGGGAGACUAGAGUUAUGGGUGGGGAGCCGGAAUUCUGGGUGUAGCAGUGAAAUGCGUAGAUAUCGGGAGGAACACUGGGGGCGAAGGCGGGUUCCGGGAGCUUAACUGACGCUGAGGCGCGAAGGCCGGGGGAGCGAACAGGAUUAGAUACCCCUGUAGUC